rnacentral:snRNA from 2 species
GUACCUUUCUCGGCCUUUUGGCUAAGAUCAAGUGUAGUAUCUGUUCUUAUCAGUUUAAUAUCUGAUAUGUGGGCCAUCGGUCUGCUCGAUAUUUAACUCUAUUUUUUAAGGAAGAAAGCCCACUAAGAUAGCUUGCUAUCUGGGCUUUCAAGAGUCAUCCAUGCGUUGUACUAUUGCACGGGCUGGCUCAACCCGC